CCUACGGGGGGCUGCAGUGGGGAAUAUUGGACAAUGGGGGCAACCCUGAUCCAGCCAUGCCGCGUGUGUGAAGAAGGCCCUCGGGUCGUAAAGCACUUUCAGUGAGGAAGAACGCCUGGUGGUUAAUACCCAUCAGGAAAGACAUCACUCACAGAAGAAGCACCGGCUAACUCCGUGCAGCAGCCGCGGUAAUACGGAGGGUGCGAGCGUUAAUCGGAAUUACUGGGCGUAAAGCGCGCGUAGGUGGCUUGAUAAGCCGGUUGUGAAAGCCCCGGGCUCAACCUGGGAACGGCAUCCGGAACUGGCAAGCUAGAGUGCAGGAGAGGAAGGUAGAAUUCCCGGUGUAGCGGUGAAAUGCGUAGAGAUCGGGAGGAAUACCAGUGGCGAAGGCGGCCUUCUGGACUGACACUGACACUGAGGUGCGAAAGCGUGGGUAGCAAACAGGAUUAGAUACCCCUGUAGUC
rnacentral:rRNA from 1 species